CUGAGAGAGAAAGGAAAGAAGAGAGUAAGAUUUUCCAUCCCAGAAACCCCUGAGCAGAACACUGAAACCUCUGAGGAGAUCACUGAAUUUAAAAAUGGCGAAACACUGAGAGAGAAAGGAAAGAAGAGAGUAAGAUUUUCCAUCCCAGAAACCCCUGAGCAGAACACUGG